rnacentral:rRNA from 1 species
GAUGAACGCUAGCUAUAGGCUUAACACAUGCAAGUCGAGGGGAAACGGCAUUAUGUGCUUGCACAUUUUGGACGUCGACCGGCGCACGGGUGAGUAUCGCGUAUCCAACCUGCCCUUUACUUGGGGAUACCCCGUUGAAAGACGGCCUAAUACCCGAUGUAAUUCAUUGAUGGCAUCAGAUAUGAAUAAAAGAUUUAUCGGUAAAGGAUGGGGAUGCGUCUGAUUAGCUUGUUGGUGAGGUAACGGCUCACCAAGGCAACGAUCAGUAGGGGUUCUGAGAGGAAGGUCCCCCACAUUGGAACUGAGACACGGUCCAAACUCCUACGGGAGGCAGCAGUGAGGAAUAUUGGUCAAUGGGCGCAAGCCUGAACCAGCCAAGUAGCGUGCAGGAAGACGGCCCUAUGGGUUGUAAACUGCUUUUAUACGAGAAUAAUUUGAUGCACGUGUGCGUUAUUGCAUGUAUCGUAUGAAUAAGGACCGGCUAAUUCCGUGCCAGCAGCCGCGGUAAUACGGAAGGUCCAGGCGUUAUCCGGAUUUAUUGGGUUUAAAGGGAGUGUAGGCGGUUUGCUAAGCGUGUUGUGAAAUUUAGAUGCUCAACAUUUAACUUGCAGCGCGAACUGUCAGACUUGAGUACACGCAACGUAUGCGGAAUUCAUGGUGUAGCGGUGAAAUGCUUAGAUAUCAUGAAGAACUCCGAUUGCGAAGGCAGCAUACGGGAGUGUAACUGACGCUUAAGCUCGAAGGUGCGGGUAUCGAACAGG